rnacentral:rRNA from 1 species
CUACGGGUUGCACCAGUGAGGAAUUUUGCGCAAUGGGGGAAACCCUGACGCAGCAACGCCGCGUGAGUGAAGAAGGCCUUUGGGUCGUAAAGCUCUGUCAACAGGGAAGAAGUUACAAUCCUUUAAUAGAUGAUUGUAUUGACGGUACCUGUGGAGGAAGCGCCGGCUAACUCCGUGCCAGCAGCCGCGGUAACACGGGGGGCGCAAGCGUUAUUCGGAAUUAUUGGGCGUAAAGGGCGCGCAGGCGGUCUUGUCCGUCAGGUGUGAAAGCUCGGGGCUCAACCCCGGAAGUGCACUUGAAACAGCAAGAUCUGAAUACGGGAGAGGAAAGCGGAAUUCCUGGUGUAGAGGUGAAAUUCGUAGAUAUCAGGAGGAACACCGAUGGCGAAGGCAGCUUUCUGGACCGAUAUUGACGCUGAGGCGCGAAGGCGUGGGGAGCGAACGGGAUUAGAUACCCUGGUAGUC